GACGAACGCUGGCGGCGUGCUUAACACAUGCAAGUCGAACGGAAAGGCCCUGCUUUUGUGGGGUGCUCGAGUGGCGAACGGGUGAGUAACACGUGAGUAACCUGCCCUUGACUUUGGGAUAACUUCAGGAAGCUGGGGCUAAUACCGGAUAGGAGCUCCUGCUGCAUGGUGGGGGUUGGAAAGUUUCGGCGGUUGGGGAUCGACUCGCGGCUUAUCAGCUUGUUGGUGGGGUAGUGGCUUACCAAGGCUUUGACGGGUAGCCGGCCUGAGAGGGUGACCGGCCACAUUGGGACUGAGAUACGGCCCAGACUCCUACGGGAGGCAGCAGUGGGGAAUAUUGCACAAUGGGCGGAAGCCUGAUGCAGCAACGCCGCGUGCGGGAUGACGGCCUUCGGGUUGUAAACCGCUUUCGCCUGUGACGAAGCGUGAGUGACGGUAAUGGGUAAAGAAGCACCGGCUAACUACGUG
rnacentral:rRNA from 1 species